UACGGGGGGGGCGAGCGUUGUCCGAAGUUACUGGGCGUAAAGCGCGUGUAGGCGGGUUGGUAAGUCCGCUGUGAAAGCCCGGUGCUCAACGCCGGAGGGUCGGUGGAUACUGGCAGUCUUGAAGUGGCUAGGGGGAAAUGGAAUUACCGGUGUAGCGGUGAAAUGCGUAGAUAUCGGUAGGAACACCAGUGGCGAAGGCGGUUUCCUGGAGCUAACUUGACGCUGAGACGCGAAAGCUGGGGGAGCAAACGGG
rnacentral:rRNA from 1 species